AGUGAACGCUGGCGGUAGGCCUAACACAUGCAAGUCGAACGGCAGCACAGUAAGAGCUUGCUCUUACGGGUGGCGAGUGGCGGACGGGUGAGGAAUACAUCGGAAUCUACUUUUUCGUGGGGGAUAACGUAGGGAAACUUACGCUAAUACCGCAUACGACCUACGGGUGAAAGCAGGGGAUCUUCGGACCUUGCGCGAUUGAAUGAGCCGAUGUCGGAUUAGCUAGUUGGCGGGGUAAAGGCCCACCAAGGCGACGAUCCGUAGCUGGUCUGAGAGGAUGAUCAGCCACACUGGAACUGAGACACGGUCCAGGCUCCUACGGGAGGCAGCAGUGGGGAAUAUUGGACAAUGGGCGCAAGCCUGAUCCAGCCAUACCGCGUGGGUGAAGAAGGCCUUCGGGUUGUAAAGCCCUUUUGUUGGGAAAGAAAAGCAGCAGGUUAAUACCCCGCUGUUCUGACGGUACCCAAAGAAUAAGCACCGGCUAACUACGUG
rnacentral:rRNA from 1 species